GUGGGGAAUAUUGGACAAUGGGGGGAACCCUGAUCCAGCCAUGCCGCGUGUGUGAAGAAGGCCUUUUGGUUGUAAAGCACUUUAAGCGAGGAGGAGGCUACCGAGAUUAAUACUCUUGGAUAGUGGACGUUACUCGCAGAAUAAGCACCGGCUAACUCUGUGCCAGCAGCCGCGGUAAUACAGAGGGUGCAAGCGUUAAUCGGUUUUACUGGGCGUAAAGCGCGCGUAGGUGGCCAAUUAAGUCAAAUGUGAAAUCCCCGAGCUUAACUUGGGAAUUGCAUUCGAUACUGGUUGGCUAGAGUAUGGGAGAGGAUGGUAGAAUUCCAGGUGUAGCGGUGAAAUGCGUAGAGAUCUGGAGGAAUACCGAUGGCGAAGGCAGCCAUCUGGCCUAAUACUGACACUGAGGUGCGAAAGCAUGGGGAGCAAACAGGAUUAGAAACCCCGGUAGUCC
rnacentral:rRNA from 1 species